rnacentral:lncRNA from 1 species
CCCGGGGUCUGAGCCACAUCUGCUCCUCCCACCCCUGCCCCCAGGGAAGCCCACACAGCUUUUCAACACAUCAACGUCUUUGGCCACGUGACCAGUGCCGAUGCAAAGGUCCCCUUCCUCCCACGGCCUCGCUGACCCAGGUGGUCACUGUCCGCUGCCCCUCCCCAGCCCUCUGAAGUCAGGCCAUGAGCCAACCUAUGCUCCAGCCCUUGCCCUGCCUUACUUACCUGACCGGCUGCCUGUCCCCCACAGACUGUGAGCAGAGUGGGGACAGGGAAGGAAGGACCGACAGUGACAAGCCUUUUCUGCCAGCCAGCGGGCUCAGGCAUGCGGUCGUGGAUUGCGGACAGGGCUCAGCAUUCCUCACAAGGGUGGGUGCCGGAAGGCACAGCAGAACCCUUGUGAGGGAGGAAGGAGCGCCACGGGUCCCGGGACCCGGCCUCAGGAAGCUGUGUGAGCCCUGGGUGCAGAGAAGCAGCCUCCUCCGGGGAGCCCCCCAGGCCUGCUGCAGCUGUGAGAAGUGGAGCGGAGGACAGCCCUGCCAGGACCGCCAAGAGGCUGGAGAUCUCGCAGCCUGGGCCCACCUCAUUGGUGUCACGCGUUCCUUCAACACGUAUUCACUGAGCACCUGCCGUGUGGGAGCUGCUGGGAUGCUGAAGGUGAACAGGACAGAUCCGACCCGUGCCCCUGAGAAGCUUCCAGUCUGCAGGAGGGGCCCCAAUGCGUAAAGGAACCCAUAAGCUGCGGGGCAGACGGGCAGGGAGCCCACGGGCAGGGAUGGGGCCGCGCGGGCUGGAGGGUGACCGGCCUUCACCUCGGGGAGGUGGAAUCGGCACAGCAGGUGGUGAGGCCGCGCAUCCCAGACCCGCGAAGCCGGAAGCAGUGGGAGACGGGGGAGUCACCAAGGGCAAGCGCUGCCACAGAAGCGCCACGAGGCACAGACAGGCGUUCUGGUGGCGCUUGGAAGGGUGGCCCGAGGACAGGACUCGGCUCAUCUCGGCAGCAGGGGGCGGCCCGCAGAGGGGACGAAGCCCCCCCAAGCUCCGGAAACCCGGCCCCAUCUGGGGGGUGGUGCCAGCCCCAAGCAAUGGGGCUCGAGAACCCGAGAUCAGCUUCCUGGCCCGUGGACAGCCUCGGGGGCAAAUGACACCACCUCCCGGAUGCCUUCUCAUCCUGCACGACACGGAAAAGACUUUUCAUUUGGAAUCCUUCCGAUGCAGAUGUGUGAAGACUCUGGUAGCGACAUCUCGGGGACUGAGCAUCUUCUAUUGA